AGUAAUGUCUGGGAAACUGCCUGAUGGAGGGGGAUAACUGCUGGAAACGGUAGCUAAUACCGCAUAACGUCGCAAGACCAAAGAGGGGGACCUUCGGGCCUCUUGCCAUCGGAUGUGCCCAGAUGGGAUUAGCUAGUAGGUGGGGUAACGGCUCACCUAGGCGAUGAUCCCUAGCUGGUCUGAGAGGAUGACCAGCCACACUGGAACUGAGACACGGUCCAG
rnacentral:rRNA from 1 species